rnacentral:rRNA from 1 species
AACGCGAAGAACCUUACCAAGUCUUGACAUCCUGCUGACCGUCCCUUAGCCGGGGCUUUCCUUCGGGACAGCAGAGACAGGUGGUGCAUGGUUGUCGUCAGCUCGUGUCGUGAGAUGUUGGGUUAAGUCCCGCAACGAGCGCAACCCUUAUCCUCAGUAGCCAGCAUUUCAGGUGGGAACUCUGGGGAGACUGCCGGAGACAAUCCGGAGGAAGGUGGGGAUGACGUCAAAUCAUCAUGCCCCUUAUGACUUGGGCUACACACGUGCUACAAUGGUGAUAACAAAGUGAAGCGACCCCGCGAGGGCAAGCCAACCACAGAAAAGCCAUCUCAGUUCGGAUUGUAGUCUGCAACCCGACUACAUGAAGCUGGAAUCGCUAGUAACCGCAGAUCAGAAUGCUGCGGUGAAUACGUUCCCGGGUCUUGUACACACCGA